rnacentral:rRNA from 1 species
ACGAACGCUGGCGGCAUGCCUAACACAUGCAAGUCGAACGAAGCCUUCGGGCUUAGUGGCGCACGGGUGCGUAACGCGUGGGAAUCUACCCUUCGGUUGGGAAUAACACAGAGAAAUUUGUGCUAAUACCUUAUAAUGUCUACGGACCAAAGAUUUAUCGCCGAGGGAUGAGCCCGCGUAGGAUUAGCUAGUUGGUGGGGUAAUGGCCUACCAAGGCGACGAUCCUUAGCUGGUCUGAGAGGAUGAUCAGCCACACUGGGACUGAGACACGGCCCAGACUCCUACGGGAGGCAGCAGUGGGGAAUAUUGGACAAUGGGCGAAAGCCUGAUCCAGCAAUGCCGCGUGAGUGAUGAAGGCCUUAGGGUUGUAAAGCUCUUUUACCCGGGAUGAUAAUGACAGUACCGGGAGAAUAAGCUCCGGCUAACUCCGU